rnacentral:lncRNA from 1 species
ACAAUGACACCUAGGAUCACCCUUACAGCCAUGCCCUGGUGGCUGGAAUUGAAAAGUGACAGCAGCCAUGGGUAAGAAGAAAAUUGCCAAGCAAUCCAAGAUCAAGUCCUUUGUGAAAGUUAAUAAUUACAACCACCUCAUGCCCACAAGGUACUCUGUGAAUAUCCCCUUGGACAAGACUUGUCAACAAGGAUGUGUUCAGGGACCAAGAUUUGAAACACAAGGCCGGGGGUUGGGGGAGGCCAAGGUCAAGUUUGAGGAGCAAUACAAGAGAAGGAAGAACAAAUGGUUUUUCCAGAAGCUUUGCUUU